rnacentral:rRNA from 1 species
UAGCCUACGGGAGGCAGCAGUGAGGAAUAUUGGUCAAUGGCCGGAAGGCUGAACCAGCCAAGCCGCGUGAAGGACGAAGGUGCCAAGCAUUGUAAACUUCUUUUGUCAAGGGACAAAAUCAGGCUCGAGAGCCUGACCGAGGGUACUUGAAGAAAAAGCAUCGGCUAACUCCGUGCCAGCAGCCGCGGUAAUACGUAGGGUGCGAGCGUUAAUCGGAAUUACUGGGCGUAAAGGGUGUGCAGGCGGUUUUGCAAGAUGGAUGUGAAAGCCCCGGGCUUAACCUGGGAAAGCCAUACAUUACUGCA